rnacentral:rRNA from 1 species
UACGUAUGGUGCAAGCGUUAUCCGGAUUUACUGGGUGUAAAGGGAGCGCAGGCGGCACGGCAAGCCUGAUGUGAAAGCCCGCGGCCCAACCGCGGGACUGCAUUGGGAACUACCGGGCUGGAGUGCCGGAGAGGUAGGCGGAAUUCCUGGUGUAGCGGUGAAAUGCGUAGAUAUCAGGAGGAACACCGGUGGCGAAGGCGGCCUGCUGGACUGCAACUGACGUUGAGGCCCGAAAGCGUGGGGAGCAAACAGG